AUCUAGUCCUACAGGAUCCCACUAAAGAGGGCAACCUCCUCCUUUUCUUCAAGUCAUGGUGGCAACUCAGCAAUUUGUCUAAACUUGGGCGAAAGAAUGAAGAGCUUCAGCACGUACUACCGAUGAUGUCCCAGGAUUGAGUGUCCAUGUGUCCGGAUGAUAACUCACUCUUGCUUAUGGAGCAUUGUGUGAAGGCUUUGCAUAUACUGUCUUGCUUAGUUUUCACAUCACUCUGAUCAGGAAAGCAUUAUCUUCACUUGAUAGAGAAGCUUAGGCGCCAAGAGAUUAGGUAAUUUAUCGAAAGCCUUAGAGCUGAAACAGUCCUUUGAACGAUUUCCUCCCCCUUGGAACACUUGCUCUUAGGACACUCCCUCUCCUAGACCAGCUGCCAUAUUGUGGGAAGCCCAAGCCGCAAGAAGAGGCUUUGUAUAGACCUUUCAGUCAACAUCCCCAUCUAAGCUCCCAGCUGCCCGCCAGCAUCAGUUUCCAGCCACCUUAGUGAGCCAGCUUGGACUCUUGCCCAGCUCUUCAGCCCAGUUGAGCCCCCGGAUGGCUGUGGCCCCAACCACCAUCACACGGAGCAGAACUGCUCAGUUGAGCUCAGUCAAUCCAAAGACUGUUCCACAGACCUGUGGGCAGGAAGUGGUGCCAAUAAGACCUUUGGGUAGCCCCAGUUGGCAUGUGGAUCCCAAAGCAAAAUUCAACUUCUCUCUCCCAUUCAAAGAGCAGAAGAGGACACUCACAACAGAUUAUCUAACACCUUGAACUUGAACUUGGAGAUUGGCUUCACUCAGCAGGGGUGAACGGAGACAUGAAGGAAGACAGCAGAGCCGCAGUGGCUGCAGUUUCUAAAUUGCCAUUUGGGAUAAAGCAGGAAAGGAGAGAAUUGCUCCAAUGCAGUGGUUUGGGAGUCCUACAUGUGAUGUCCUACACAUAAUGGUCUUACUUCUUUCCACUGAGCCUUCAAUUCUACAAGAGGGGAGUAAAUUGGAUUCGGAACAGAAACUACUACCACUGUCCCAUCACAUGUCCUGUCAGACAUCAGGAAUCCAUCCUGCCAUUUUUUCUGCAGAGUUUCCACAGGGCUUCAGAAUCUUAUUCAUCCCAGCCUUGCAGGCGGCAAUUACUAAUGUAAAGAAAGUGCUCCUUGGGGAACUUUCCCUCUAUAGAAGAAUGUAGUUAAUAAACGGAGAAACUAAUGAUAAUUAGAAUGGCAAUGAUCAUCAGCGGCUGUUUGCUUCAGGUUCCCCACUUGGAAGAAGAGAACACCAUACGGAAAUAUUGCCAAAAAUUUGAACCUCAACUUGAUCAAGCUUCUAGAUUCAACUACCAACUUGUGGGAAAUAGAGAGAGUAGAGAAAAUGUUAAACUACACUAUGAACGUGUAAUCAGUGAAAUCCAGACUGUGGGAAACUGUAUAGGUCAAAUGACCUUUAUUCUUGGGAAAAAAAAAAAAAAGCGUGGAGGGGAAAUCUUUAUAGAUUAAAAGAUACCUGAAAGACAUAUCAAUCAAUCACAGCAUAUGAACUUUACUUUAAAUUUUUAUCACCUUUAUUUAUUUUAAUUAUUUUAUUCAUUUUUUAAAGCUUUUUAACUUAACUCUAGUUGAUUUACAAUAUGGUGUUUGUUUCAGGUAUACAGCUUCAGAUUCUUUUCUGUAAUAGGUUAUUACAAGAUAUUGAACAUAGUUCCAUAUGCUAUACAACAAAUCCUUGUUUAUCUAUUUUAUAUAUAGUGAUGUGUAUCUAUUGAUCCCAAAUUCCUAAUUUAUCCCUCUCCCUCCACUUUCCUCUUUGGUAACUAUAAGUUUGAUUUACUUCACUUAGUAUGAUAAUCUCUAGGUUCAUCCAUGUUGCUGCAAAUGGCAUUAUUUCAUUCUUUUUUAUGGCUGAGUAAUAUUCCAUUGUGCAUGCACACACGCAUACAUGUUUGUAUGUGUGCAUACACACAUACUACAUCUUUAUCCAUUUAUCUGUUGCACUUAGGUUGCGUCCAUGUCUUGGCUAUUGUGAAUAGUGCUGCUAUGAAUAUUGGGGUGCAUGUUUCUUUCAAACUAGACUUUUUGUCUUUUCAGGAAAUAUGCUCAGGAGUGGAACUGCUGAAUCAUAUGGAAGCUCUGUUAUUAGUUUUUAAAGGAACCUCCAUACUGUUGUCUAUAGUGGUUGUACAAACUUACAUUCCCACCAACAGUGUAAAAGAUUCCCUUUUCUUCACAACCUAUUCAGCAUUUGUUAUUUGUAGACUUUGUGAAGAGGACCAUUCUGACUGGUUUGAAGUGAUACCUUAUUGUAGUUUUGAUUUGCCUUUGUCUAAUAAUUAGUGAUGCUGAGCAUCAUUUCAAUGUGUCUGUUGGCCAUCUCUAUGUAUUCUUUGGAGAAGUGUCUGUUUACGCCUUCUGCCCAUUUUUUGAUUUUUUUUGAUAUUGAGUUGUAUGAACUGUUUGUAUAUUUUGGAAAUAAAGCCCUUGUUGGUUGCA